ACAGGAGGAGGAAGGUCAGCAGACCCGACAGCCAACAGUCACAGCAGCUCUGACAAGAGCGUUCCUGGAGCCUGAGCUCCUCUCCACAGAGGACAAGCAGACAGCAGAGACCAUGGGCUCCCCCUCAGCCGCUUCCCAUGGAGGGCACAGGCCCUGGCAGGGGCUCCUGAUCACAGCCUCACUUUUAACCUUCUGGGACCCGCCCAGCACUGUCCAGUUCACUAUUGAAGCCCUGCCAUCCAGUGCUGCAGAGGGAAAGGAUGUUCUUCUACUGGCCUGCAAUAUUUCAGAGACUAUUCAAGCCUAUUAUUGGCACAAGGGGAAAACGGCAGAAGGGAGCCCUCUCAUUGCUGGUUAUAUAACAGACAUUCAAGCAAAUAUCCCAGGGGCCGCAUACAGUGGUCGAGAGACAGUAUACCCCAAUGGAUCCCUGCUGUUCCAAAACAUCACCCUGGAGGACGCAGGAUCCUACACCCUACGAACCAUAAAUGCCAGUUACGACUCUGACCAAGCAACUGGCCAGCUCCAUGUACACCGUGAGUGAUUCCCCCAUACCUCUGGGUGUUGGGG
rnacentral:sRNA from 1 species